AACGAACGCUGGCGGCAUGCCUAACACAUGCAAGUCGAACGAUACCUUCGGGUCUAGUGGCGCACGGGUGCGUAACGCGUGGGAACCUGCCCUUAGGUUCGGAAUAACUCCCCGAAAGGGGUGCUAAUACCGGAUAAUGUCUUCGGACCAAAGAUUUAUCGCCUUUGGAUGGGCCCGCGUUGGAUUAGCUAGUUGGUAGGGUAAAAGCCUACCAAGGCGACGAUCCAUAGCUGGUCUGAGAGGAUGAUCAGCCACACUGGGACUGAGACACGGCCCAGACUCCUACGGGAGGCAGCAGUGGGGGAUAUUGGACAAUGGGCGAAAGCCUGAUCCAGCAAUGCCGCGUGAGUGAUGAAGGCCUUAGGGUUGUAAAGCUCUUUUACCCGGGAUGAUAAUGACAGUACCGGGAGAAUAAGCUCCGGCUAACUCCGUG
rnacentral:rRNA from 1 species